GAUGAACGCUGGCGGCGUGCCUAAUCCAUGCAAGUCGAGCGAACGAACGAGAAGCUUGCUUCUCUGAUGUUAGCGGCGGACGGGUGAGUAACACGUGGAUAACCUACCUAUAAGACUGGGAUAACUUCGGGAAACCGGAGCUAAUACCGGAUAAUAUUUUGAACCGCAUGGUUCAAAAGUGAAAGACGUUCUUGCUGUCACUUAUAGAUGGAUCCGCGCUGCAUUAGCUAGUUGUUAAGGUAACGGCUUACCAAGGCAACGAUGCAUAGCCGACCUGAGAGGGUGAUCGGCCACACUGGAACUGAGACACGGUCCAGACUCCUACGGGAGGCAGCAGUAGGGAAUCUUCCGCAAUGGGCGAAAGCCUGACGGAGCAACGCCGCGUGAGUGAUGAAGGUCUUCGGAUCGUAAAACUCUGUUAUUAGGGAAGAACAUAUGUGUAAGUAACUGUGCACAUCUUGACGGUACCUAAUCAGAAAGCCACGGCUAACUACGUG
rnacentral:rRNA from 1 species